NNNNCCCUGAAUCAAGGCCGGCAGCAUCCUGACACUGUUGGUUUCAAGCAGGAGCCAUGUCUUUCCAUGAUCUGUUGGUCAUUUCAGAACUUGAGCAGUGAAAUGGUCAAUUCAUUAGAAAGAAACAACU
ensembl:snoRNA